GCCCUUAGAGUUUGAUCCUGGCUCAGGACGAACGCUGGCGGCGCGCCUAACACAUGCAAGUCGAACGAGAGAGAGGAAGCUUGCUUCCUCAAUCGAGUGGCGAACGGGUGAGUAACGCGUGAGGAACCUGCCUCAAAGAGGGGGACAACAGUUGGAAACGACUGCUAAUACCGCAUAAGCCCACGGGUCGGCAUCGACCAGAGGGAAAAGGAGCAAUCCGCUUUGAGAUGGCCUCGCGUCCGAUUAGCUGGUUGGUGAGGUAAUGGCCCACCAAGGCGACGAUCGGUAGCCGGACUGAGAGGUUGAACGGCCACAUUGGGACUGAGACACGGCCCAGACUCCUACGGGAGGCAGCAGUGGGGAAUAUUGCACAAUGGGGGAAACCCUGAUGCAGCGACGCCGCGUGGAGGAAGAAGGUCUUCGGAUUGUAAACUCCUGUUGUGAGGAAGAUAAAGACGGUACUCAACAAGGAGGUGACGGCUAUUACG
rnacentral:rRNA from 1 species